UACGGAGGGUGCGAGCGUUAAUCGGAAUUACUGGGCGUAAAGCGCACGUAGGCGGUCGGGUAAGUCGGAUGUGAAAGCCCUGGGCUUAACCUGGGAACUGCAUUCGAUACUGCCCGGCUAGAGUAUGGGAGAGGGAAGCGGAAUUUCCGGUGUAGCGGUGAAAUGCGUAGAUAUCGGAAGGAACACCAAUGGCGAAGGCAGCUUCCUGGCCCAAUACUGACGCUCAGGUGCGAAAGCGUGGGGAGCAAACAGG
rnacentral:rRNA from 1 species